rnacentral:rRNA from 1 species
UCUCCGUAGGUGAACCUGCGGAGGGAUCAUUACACAAAUAUGAAGGCGGGCUGGAACCUCUCGGGGUUACAGCCUUGCUGAAUUAUUCACCCUUGUCUUUUGCGUACUUCUUGUUUCCUUGGUGGGUUCGCCCACCACUAGGACAAACAUAAACCUUUUGUAAUUGCAAUCAGCGUCAGUAACAAAUUAAUAAUUACAACUUUCAACAACGGAUCUCUUGGUUCUGGCAUCGAUGAAGAACGCAGCGAAAUGCGAUAAGUAGUGUGAAUUGCAGAAUUCAGUGAAUCAUCGAAUCUUUGAACGCACAUUGCGCCCUUUGGUAUUCCAAAGGGCAUGCCUGUUCGAGCGUCAUUUGUACCCUCAAGCUUUGCUUGGUGUUGGGCGUCUUGUCUCUAGCUUUGCUGGAGACUCGCCUUAAAGUAAUUGGCAGCCGGCCUACUGGUUUCGGAGCGCAGCACAAGUCGCACUCUCUAUCAGCAAAGGUCUAGCAUCCAUUAAGCCUUUUUUUCAACUUUUGACCUCGGAUCAGGUAGGGAUACCCGCUGAACUUAAGCAUAUCAAAGGCGGGAAGGAAA